UACAGAGGUCUCAAGCGUUGUUCGGAUUCAUUGGGCGUAAAGGGUGUGUAGGUGGCGCCGUUAGUCGGGUGUGAAAUUUCGGAGCUUAACUCCGAAACUGCAUUCGAUACUUCGGUGCUUGAGGACUGGAGAGGAGACUGGAAUUCAUGGUGUAGCAGUGAAAUGCGUAGAGAUCAUGAGGAAGACCAGUGGCGAAGGCGGGUCUCUGGACAGUUCCUGACACUGAGACACGAAGGCCAGGGAGCAAACGGG
rnacentral:rRNA from 1 species